CUACGGGUGGCUGCAGUAAGGAAUAUUGCGCAAUGGAGGCAACUCUGACGCAGCCAUGCCGCGUGCAGGAAGAAGGCCUUAUGGGUCGUAAACUGCUUUUAUUUAGGAAUAAACCCCCGAACGUGUUCGGGGCUGAAGGUACUAAACGAAUAAGCACCGGCUAACUCCGUGCCAGCAGCCGCGGUAAUACGGAGGGUGCAAGCGUUAUCCGGAUUUAUUGGGUUUAAAGGGUGCGCAGGCGGGCUAUUAAGUCAGUGGUGAAAUCCCGGGGCUCAACUCCGGAACUGCCAUUGAUACUGAUAGUCUUGAGUUUGGUUGAAGUGGGCGGAAUGUAGCAUGUAGCGGUGAAAUGCAUAGAUAUGCUACAGAACACCAAUCGCGAAGGCAGCUCACUAAGCCAAAACUGACGCUCAUGCACGAAAGCGUGGGGAUCAAACAGGAUUAGAUACCCCCGUAGUC
rnacentral:rRNA from 1 species